rnacentral:rRNA from 1 species
GGAGGAAAAGAAACCAACAGGGAUUGCCUCAGUAGCGGCGAGUGAAGCGGCAAAAGCUCAAAUUUGAAAUCUGGCGUCUUUGGCGUCCGAGUUGUAAUUUGAAGAAGGUAUCUUUGGGCCCGGCUCUUGUCUAUGUUCCUUGGAACAGGACGUCACAGAGGGUGAGAAUCCCGUGCGAUGAGAUGACCCGGGUCUGUGUAAAGUUCCUUCGACGAGUCGAGUUGUUUGGGAAUGCAGCUCUAAGUGGGUGGUAAAUUCCAUCUAAAGCUAAAUAUUGGCGAGAGACCGAUAGCGAACAAGUACAGUGAUGGAAAGAUGAAAAGAACUUUGAAAAGAGAGUGAAAAAGUACGUGAAAUUGUUGAAAGGGAAGGGCUUGAGAUCAGACUUGGUAUUUUGCAUGCUGCUCUCUCGGGGGCGGCCGCUGCGGUUUACCGGGCCAGCAUCGGUUUGGAGCGGCAGGAUAAUGGCGGAGGAAUGUGGCACGGCUUCUGCUGUGUGUUAUAGCCUCUGACGAUACUGCCAGCCUAGACCGAGGACUGCGGUUUUUACCUAGGAUGUUGGCAUAAU